GACGAACCGUGCGAACGUUGUUCGGAAUCACUGGGCUUAAAGGGCGCGUAGGCGGGCGUGCAAGUCUGUGGUGAAACCCCCCAGCUUAACUGGGGAAGUGCCGUGGAUACUGCACGUCUUGAGGAGGGUAGGGGCAUCUGGAACGGUCGGUGGAGCGGUGAAAUGCGUAGAUAUCGUCUGGAACGCCGAAGGUGAAAACAGCUCGCUGGGGCCGCGCUGACGCUGAGACACGAAAGCCAGGGGAGCGAACGGG
rnacentral:rRNA from 1 species